rnacentral:tRNA from 1 species
UGGCCCAAUGGUCAAGUGGUCAAGACGUCGCGUUCUCAGCGCGGAAUCCAGGGUUCGACUCCCUGUUGGGCUAUC